rnacentral:rRNA from 1 species
CCGUAGCCCAAGAGAUCGGGAUAACACCUGGAAACAGAUGCUAAUACCGGAUAACAACAGAUGAUGCCUAUCAACUGUUUAAAAGAUGGUUCUGCUAUCACUCUUGGAUGGACCUGCGGUGCAUUAGCUAGUUGGUAGGGUAACGGCCUACCAAGGCGAUGAUGCAUAGCCGAGUUGAGAGACUGAUUGGCCACAUUGGGACUGAGACACGGCCCAAACUCCUACGGGAGGCAGCAGCA